ensembl:snRNA RNU2-63P RNA, U2 small nuclear 63, pseudogene
AUCUCUUUUUUGCUGUUUGGUUAAUGAUUGAGUGUAGUGUGUGUUCUUAUCAGUUUAAUAUCUGGUAUGUUCUUCUGUUUGAUGAACGCUAUAUUAAACGCAGUUUUGGAACGGGGAGUUGGAGUAAGAGUUUACUCUAUCUAGUCUACGCAUCGAUUUGGUAUUGCAGUACUUCCAGAAACGGUGCACCUGCU